UUUUCAGUAUGGAUUAGCUGCAUGGAUUCAUCCAAGCUGGGUCGGCGGUCUUGAGAAUCUAUGAUUAACUUACUAUUAAUUGAGAAACUACAAAUCGAAGGAACUGAUUUCUAAAAGACAUUCUGAAAAACCACCUUCCACAGUUUGUAAUGUUCAAGAAACCCAGAAGGUAAACUCCGCUGUGAGCCUGAUCACAAGCCCACAUAAACUGCUGGAAUAAACACCCACCCAUUUACUUCCAAGGAAAGACGAUUUGACGCGACUCUUCAGAGCAAUGAGUGUAAAUUGGCGAUGAAGCAAGGCUUACAGUCUUAAUGAUUAGACAGUAGAAUUAAGAACUUGGCGUUGUGUGAGGCCAAGUCUGCAAUUCAGUCUCUACUCGCAAGUCCUAUGUUAUUGUUGAUGUGAUUCCCACCUUUCCUCGUUCAAGAACGGAAGCCGUGUCUCCAGUUGUCCUGAGCAGCACUCUGUUCCCCUCUUUGCUAAUCAACCAAUAGUAAACAUGGUCGGUCCUUGACUAGCAAAAUACUUUAUGAAAGGCUUUUCUCUUCAGUGAAGAGGAAAAACCCAGGGUUCCUCCAUAAUUUUUAAUCUUCAAUGAGCGGAAAUCAUCACUUGGCUUAAACUGGAGUUACAGCCAACAAAAGGGUCCAUAACAAGAGAUAGGAGGCGAGCUAUCUUCUCUGGUGGGCCUGAACCUUGAAAUAAGUCUGAUUUGGUGAUACUUUU